rnacentral:rRNA from 1 species
UACAGAGGGUGCGAGCGUUAAUCGGAUUCACUGGGCGUAAAGGGUGCGCAGGUGGCCAAGUGUGUUAGGCGUGAAAGCCCGGGGCUUAACCCCGGAAUUGCACCUAAAACUACGUUGGCUAGAGCAUUGGAGAGGGGAGCAGAAUUCAUGGUGUAGCAGUGAAAUGCGUAGAUAUCAUGAGGAAUACCAGAGGCGAAGGCGGCUCCCUGGACAAUUGCUGACACUCAGGCACGAAAGCGUGGGGAGCAAAAGGG